rnacentral:rRNA from 1 species
CGCGGCCUAUCAGCUUGUUGGUGGGGUAACGGCCCACCAAGGCAUCGACGGGUAGCUGGUCUGAGAGGACGAUCAGCCACACUGGGACUGAGACACGGCCCAGACUCCUACGGGAGGCAGCAGUGGGGAAUAUUGCGCAAUGGGCGAAAGCCUGACGCAGCAACGCCGCGUGGGGGAUGAAGGCCUUCGGGUUGUAAACCCCUUUCAGCAGGGACGAAAAUGACGGUACCUGCAGAAGAAGCCCCGGCCAACUACGUGCCAGCAGCCGCGGUAACACGUAGGGGGCAAGCGUUGUCCGGAUUUAUUGGGCGUAAAGAGCUCGUAGGCGGUUGCGUAAGUCGGAUGUGAAAACUCAGGGCUCAACCCGGAGGCGCCAUCCGAUACUGCGCUGACUAGAGUCCGGUAGAGGAGCAUGGAAUUCCUGGUGUAGCGGUGAAAUGCGCAGAUAUCAGGAGGAACACCAGUGGCGAAGGCGGUGCUCUGGGCCGGUACUGACGCUGAGGAGCGAAAGCGUGGGUAGCGAACAGGAUUAGAUACCCUGGUAGUCCACGCCGUAAACGUUGGGCACUAGGUGUGGGGCCUCCUUAACGGGUUCCGUGCCGUAGCUAACGCAUUAAGUGCCCCGCCUGGGGAGUACGG